rnacentral:lncRNA from 1 species
GAUUUAAGGUUUAAGAUGAUAGGUGGUUAGGGCGAGUGAGAUCGAUGGUGUGGAGAUGGAGGAAGUUGUGAUGGUCGAGGUGAGGGCGGAGAUGGAGGUUUCUGGUGGAGGAAAGGUUGGAUGCAGAGUGUCCGAAGGAGAAGGUUGGUGCGGAGGUGGAGCGGAAGUUUCGUCGGAAUGAAGAAGGUGGUUGUGUGGUUGUGUUCGCCGGCGAGGGAGGAGGCGAAUCGGAGAAGGCGGUGGUGAGAAGAUUGUGAACAGUGGUCGUGGCGGAGAUGUUUGGUGGCGGUUUUGUGGUGUUGUGGUGGCGGUGGUGUGAUUGAGGAAGAUGGAGAGGAUGAGUUAGUGUGAGGUGUGAGGUGAGAGCCCAGAGAAUUUGUAACGUGGCCCCCUAUUUAUUAAGUGAAAAGAGAGUUAUAUUAUGGUGAGAGAGACGCGUGUGGUAGAAAAGAGAGUAUUUUGUUGAGUGGGUUCCUGCUCUCUCUCUCUCUCUCUCUCUCUCUCUCUCUCUAACGUUCGUAGUGGGUAGGUUGUUACAACCUUUUUAUUUUAUUUCUUAUUUUUUAUUUUUGAACCAAGAGAGAGAAUUUGAGGAGUACUUUUAGAAGAGGAAAAGUCCUCUUUUUUUCUUUCCCACAGAGUCAUGAUGAGAGCCGCCUUCCUAUUUUCUUCCUAGUGGAGAGAGAUCCCAUGUAGUAAAUGGUGUGGUUUUUUUGUCUUUUUCUAUUUUUUCCUUUUUUUUUAGAGAGUGAAUUGGUUGGAAAUGGUUUUGCAUCCUUAAGCCUUCACGUGACCAGCUGUCACACCUCCCUUCUCUUUUCGUUGGAUGCCCAGCUAGAGAGAGGGAUUCUAGAAGGAGAUUUUUAUAUGUUAUUUAAUAUUACUCUUUAUUUCUAUUUGAUGAUUGGAUAAUAGAAAAUGGGUAUUGAUUGCAAAUGAGGACCAUUGAUUAAUUUGAAUCAACCAUUCAGAUUAAAUCAAAAAAAAACAAACCAAUCAAAAUUGCAAAGUUAUCUUUUUUUAGAUGAUUUAAUUAAUUUAAAUGGGAUUAAAUCAAUCAAUUCAAAUAAAAAUUCACAACUUCCUAAAUAAACAUGAUAAAAUUAAAAUGAAGAUAUGGAAAUUCCCAUUUAUUUAAUUUGAAUAUUUUGGCGAAAGAAUAAAAUUAAAAUGACUAAAAAUGAAUAAAAGUCGGGCGAAAAUUUGCUCAAAAGAUUAAAUCGGAUGCACUAAAAUGAUCAGCACGAAAUAUACUUAUUGAAAAAAUACAACGUUUCUUUGAAUUUUGAAAUAAAUUUUCAACGGUUAAAAGGCCCAGACUGGUCAAAAUGCAACUAAAAAAGUCACUGAAAAAAAUACAACGAGCACACCAAAUUAAACUACGUGAACCAUAGAUUAAUAAUACCGACAUCUACAAUUUUAAUUUUGAAACUUUUUACCCGCUGAUUUUGCACGUAUUUGAGAAACGGAUUAACCAAUUUGUCUGUAUUUUCCAAGAAUUUAUUCCGACUGAUAUUUUAGGUAUUAUUCAUGAUGGAAUGCAUGUGAUGCUGUGUAUAUGAUGCAAAUUGAAAAUGAAAUCAGAUUUACGAAAACUUAAAAUGCCUGGACAAAAUAGGGGUAUGACAGGGUGCAGCUGGAAAUUAGCCACGUUCACUCGUUGGUUGACAAUAGUUAAUCUGUCGGUUUAUGCAUUGGCACCUCCGUAGUCUCCCAACUGUCUUUCUGCUGGCGAUGGAACAUCAACCAUAGUUUCGAUCUCUCUAUCGGAACCUGAAUCUGAGUUGUAAUGGAUGGAAAGUUGUUCUUCGUCUUAUUCCAAUCUGGCUAAUCGAGCUUGUCUGAGUCUUGCUCGCAAGGUUCUCUCGAUUUCUGCGUCAAAAGGAAAAUCAACUGAGGCCUUACCUCGCAUACAAAUAUCAGACACAGAUUAGUUGAUAUAAUAGAAAUAAAAUAUUCAAAAUACGGAAAAUAAAUUUUAGUUGCAGAGCAACAAAAUUUCAAUUGAGAUAAUUUUAAACUUAUAUUUGGCAAUUCCUGGCAACGGCACCAAAAACUUGAUCAGAAAAAUAGCAAGUGUACUAUUUUGGCCGAUGUAGUAAUAAGAGGGAUGUUUCCCAAAGAUCGAUAUCGAGUAUUGCGAGCAAUAUAAGAGUAAACAGUCACUCAAUUGAACAAAAGUGAGAGUUUGGGUUUGGUACAAUUUACUGUAAGGAAGAAUAAAACAAAUAAAUAUUUUCACAAAUUAAUAUGAUAUGCCAAGGAAGGUGUAUAAACAUCUCCUAUAAUGACCCUUGAGUGUAUAUCUCCUUAAUACUGAACAUUAUUUCAAUUACCGGAUCUUAAGAUUAUUUACCCCUAAGACCUCGGAGGGAAACCUUUGGUAUUCAAUCUAACCUCUAAGUCCUAAGGUGAUUAUGGUGAAACCAAGCAUUUUAAUUUAACAAGAAUAAUCCGGUAACCAUAGGGUAUCCCUAGUCCUAGGUGAUAUCUACUAUGGUUUCACUAUAUGAAAACCUUAACCAUUGCAGUCCUGUUAAUCGUUAACCAUACAUCAAUCUUAACUUUUGCCAUAAAGAAAGCAUUACGCGAAUCAUAUAGUGAAAUUGAAAUCAAAUAACAUAUAUUAAGGAAAAUCUAACAUCAGAGUCAUUACAUGAUCAAUUCAGGGACACCCCCUGGCAUUGGGGGGUUUAGCCUAUCAUAUUAUUCAAAUCAGAUACAAUAUAAAAUUGAGAAAUUACAAAAAGUUUAGAAUUACGUUGAUCUUCAAUCGCGUCCGCUCUUGAAGGAUCUUCGUUCUUAUUCGCUUUCCACUCCUUCAAUCUUGAUUGUCUCCAAUUUUCUAUCGUGUAAAAAGACCCUUUCUCCAUAUUCAAAUCUCCUGUAAAUAGUUCCUGAUGACAAUUUUUCUCGCGUAAAAGUCCAAACUGCCCUCCGGGAUAAGUUGUGCCAAAAAACACAUAAAAUUAGAAAAUCAAGUACCCAGGUCAACACUGGCCGUGUCAGGAAACACGCCAGGCCGUGUUGGCUUCUGAGGUACAAGGCCUUGACACGCCUGCUCAGGGAUGCUAACACGGGCACCCGUGUCAGCUCCCUAUUUUCCUCUUCCAUGCCCUUUCUCCUAACACAGCCCGUGUUGGCCAACAUGGGUGGCCGUGUCAGGGCUACUGUAAGUCCAUUUUUCUUCUCCCGACGGGCCCAGAACGCCUGUUUUGCUUGUCUAUCCCUCUGGUACACUUGUUUACACCUGAAACCAAAAGAACUACCAUAAAAGGACAUAAAAUGGAGUAUGAUGAUGCAUAGAAUAUGUACUCAUUAAAUGGAGAUAACAAUACCAAACAUAUAAAUAACUAAACAAAAUAAUAAAAUAAGUGGACUAAUGUGUUACCGACUUCUUACAAAGGUGUCGAAUGAGUGUCAGAAAACAAGGAGGAUUGGAGACUGAUCACAUGCAGAUCUUGUUUAAUUGGAAAGAUGAUAAAGUCUCCAUUCACAAGAAAAGGUGAAAGAGCUAAUGAUCUUUUGGCCCUCAUACAUACUGAUGUAUGUGGACCACUGAACAUACCAGCCAGAGGAGGUUUUCAGUACUUCAUCACAUUACUUGAUGAUUUCAUUAGAUACGGUUAUGUGUAUUUAAUGAAACACAAAUCAGAGUCCUUUGAAAAGUUCAAGGAAUUCAGAAUGAAGUACAAAACCAACUAGGUAAGAAUAUUAAAACUCUUCGAUCAGAUCGAGGUGGUGAGUAUUUAGCCUAGAGUUUGAUGACCAUCUGAAAGAGUGUGGGAUCCUACCCCAACUUACUCCUCCUGGAACACCCAAUGGAAUGGUGUAUCUGAGAGAAGAAAUUGAACCUUGUUAGACAUGGUCUGAUCCAUUAUGGGUCAUAGCCGAUCUUCCAAACUCUUUGGAACAUGCACUAUUGACAGCAGCUUACACACUUAACCGUGUUCCAUCUGAAAAGGUUGAGAAAGACACCAUAUGAGAUAUGGAGUGGUAAAAACCACAUAGUGUCUUACAUGAAGAUUUGGGGUUGCGAAGUUUAUGUGAAAUGACAAAUUUCAACUAAGCUUGAGCCCAAAUCUGACAAAUGCUUAUUUGUGGGGUAUCCUAAAGAAACAAGAGGGUAUUACUUCUACAAUGCUUCUGAGGGUAAAGUGUUUGUCGCUCGAACUGGAGUUUUCCUAGAAAAGGAUUUUAUUUCUAAAGGAAUCAGUGGGAGGAAAGUAGAGCUUGAAGGGAUUCAAGAAUCAUAAAGCAUUGAUACACCUAUGGAGGAAUUAGAGUAGGAAACACAAGUAGUUGUGGAAGAGCAACCUGUUCAAGUAGAACAAGACCAACGUAGGUCAAUCAGGAUACGUCACCUACCUGAGAGAUAUGGAUAUCUCAUAACUGAUCAAGGUGAUAUAUUACUCAUGGAUCAAGAUGAGCUUGUGACCUACCAAGAGGCCAUAAUUGGUCCUGAGUCUAAGAAGUGGCUAGAAGCCAUGAAAUCUGAAAUGGAUUCCAUGUACACAAACCAAGUUUGGACCUUGGUAGAGCCUCCUGUAGGAGUUAACACUAUAGGAUGCAAGUGGGUAUUCAAAAAGAAGACUGGCAUGGAUGGUAAGGUAUAUACUUAUAAGUCAAGACUAGUUGCAAAAGGAUAUAAACAAAUUCACGGGGUUGACUAUGAUAAAACCUUUUCACCAGUUGCAAUGCUUAAAUCUGUUCGGAUUUCACUUGUUAUCGAUGCAUAUCAUGAUUAUGAAAUAUGGCAUAUGGAUGUCAAAACUGCUUUCCUUAAUAGGAAUCUUCUUGAGGAUGUGUACAUGACACAACCUGAAGGAUUUAACAUACCAGACGAAGCCCAAAAGAUAUGUAAGUUACAAAGAUCAAUAUAUGGAUUGAAGCAAGCUUCCAGAAGCUGGAAUCUUCGUUUUGAUGAAACAGUAAAACAAUAUGGAUUCAUCAAGAACGGAGAUGAGCCUUGUGUCUACAAGAAGGUUAGUGGGAGCAUGAUCAUUUUCCUGAUAUUAUAUGUAGAUGACAUAUUACUCAUUGGAAACGAUGUCCCUAUCCUGCAACAAGUAAAGUCUUGGUUGGGGAAAUGAUUUUCUAUGAAGGACCUGGAUGAAGCAGCCUAUAUAUUGGGAAUCAGGAUCUAUAGAGAUAGAUCACAAAAACUGCUUGGCCUAAGUCAGAGUACAUACAUAGAUAAAGUGAUGAGACACUUUAAUAUGCAUGAUUCUAAGAAAGGUUUCAUACCUAUGUAACAUGGCUUGUGUCUAUCAAAAACACAAUCCCCUUCAACUAAGGAAGAAAGGGAUCACAUGAAUAAUAUUCCAUAUGCAUCGGCAAUAGGAUCUAUCAUGUAUGCCAUGUUAUGUACUCGACUAGAUGUCUCGUAUGCUUUAAGUGCAACGAGUAGGUACCAAACUGAUCCCGGUGAUGCUCAUUGGGUAGUUGUCAGGAAUAUCCUUAAGUAUAUGAGAAGGAAUAAGGACUCAUUCUUGAUAUAUGGAGGUCAGGAAGAGCUUGUUGUAAUUGGAUACACCGAUGCUAGCUUCCAAACAGAUAAGGAUGACUUUAGAUCGCAAUCUGGUUAUGUGUUUUGCUUAAACGGUGGCGUUGUGAGCUGGAAAAGUUCAAAGCAAGAUACAGUUACUGAUUCUACAACCGAGGCCGAGUAUACUGCUGCCUCAAGUGCAGCAAAGGAAGCUGUUUGGAUCAAAAAGUUCAUUAGUGAACUUGGCAUAGUUCCUAGCAUUAUGGAUCCCAUUGGUCUCUAUUGUGAUAGCAAUAGUGAUAUCGCACAAGCUAAGGAGUCUAGAUCUGACCAACGAUCCAAACACAUACUUAGGCGUUAUCACCUCAUUCGAGAGAUAAUAGAUAGAGGAGAUGUGAAAAUAUGCAGAGUACCUACACUUGACAAUAUUGUUGACCCACUGACAAAGCCUCUUGCGCGGGCAGAAGCAUGAUGGCCAUACUAGAUUUAUGGCCAUUAGGGGUAUGCCUGAUUGGCUCUAGUGCUAGUGGGGAUUUUGGUGUAAGCCUAGAGGCCAAUACUUUUUGUACUUAUAUCAAAUUAUUUAUUAUAAUAAAAGGCUUUCUUAUUAUGUUUGUUUAAUAAAGUCCCUAGAAUAGCUAGUCCGUUUAAUGUAUCAAGUGUGACUUAUCAUGAGAUCCCAUUAAAAUAAGGACAUUAUUCUUAAGUAUCCGUAUUCGAGCUUUAUUGUGAAAUGGAGUAACAUUAAGCAUUAAUACUAUUAUGUAUACAGACUGAUGUCACAUCUCAUGGAUCAUGGAUAGGAGUAUCAAGUUAACAUAAGGUAUGAAUAUUAAGAGUAAUAUUUAUACUGGAUUGACCCGCUAUGAGAAUACUAUAUAGAAUGUUAUGCAAAGUGUCAUAAGUUAUUUUUCGUGGUGAUAAUGGUGUAUACCACCCUUCGACCUAACCACUAUGGACCCUAGAUGUAGAGUCGAGUGCCUAUGUUGAUCAAACGUUGUUUGUAACAGGGAUGACCAAAAAGACAGUUGAUGGGUACUCCACGAAGCAUGCUGAGGGACAUGAGUGACCUGAUGGAAUUUUCUCAUCUGCAUAAUAGGAUAUGUCUACGGGCCAAUAUUGAACUGGACAAGAAUGACACGGUCUAUGCCUUAUGUCAAUAUAGACAUAAGGCAAAAGGGUAAUUGUACACAUAAGUAUUAUCACAAAAGGAUUUGUCAGAUCAUAUGACAUUUUCGUGUCUUGGGUAGCAGUGAUGUGUUGCUAGAUACGCUCACUGUUUUUAUGUUAAAUGCAUUGAUUUAAUAUAAUUGCCAAUGUCACGAAAACCACAUGGUCACACACAAAAUGACGGGAUUGAUGAGAGAUAGAGUAACUAAGGAACACGUAAGGUACGGUGUACUUAAGUGAAUUGUAGAACAUCGUAAGGUACGGUAUACUUAAGUAGAUCUGCAUCAAAGUUUUCAAUCGCCAACAGAGGUAACGAUUCUAUCACUGAUCAUGCCCAUUCGUAAGGAUCACUAAAGGAGAAUUUUAAAUUCCGUUGCGUUUUGGAUCGUUCUUCUCCUUCACACACACCACCACACACCAAACAACACCACACCACACACAUAUAUAUAUAUAAUAUAUAUAUAUAUUACUAUAUAUAAUAUAUAUAUAUAUAUAUAUUAUAUAUAUAUAAUAUAUUAUAUAUUUAUAUAUUAUAAUAUAUAUAUAUUAUAUAUAUAUAUUAAGAGAGCGAGAUCGAGAGAAGAGAAGAUGAAAGAGAGAGAGAGGAGGGGGGAGGGGGCUUUUUGCCCUCUUUUAGAUUGAGUUUCCCUUGUCUCCUUGAAUCUUUUCAUCUUCUUUUUGUUCAAAAGGUACCUUGCAUUUUGAGGUACCUUUCUUCCCUUCAACUUUUCAUUCCUGUAUUUUAUUAUAUUUUUGCUACUAUGAAGGAUAACCCUAUAUCCGUUGAGAGUGAUUUAGAGGGUAAUGUUUUUUCAUCUUAAAAAAAGGGAAUGGGUUCUUAUUCAAAUUUCGUCCCUUCUAACUGUGGGAAUUUCAAAUCGGAAGUCGUCCUCUUGAGUGAUGAUUCUGAAAUGGAAGGGUCGUCUGGAGAAUCUCUUUCAUACGAGGCUCAUUCUUGGGAAUCUUCAGAGACUUUAUUUCUAGAGAAACCUGAUAUGGGUUAAAAUCUCGUGGAAAAGCCGAUGUGUCCCCCUGUCUUAACCAAGGAAGAAAUAGAAGUUUUUUGUCAAAAGAGGGAACAUGACAGUUGUUUUGUUAAAACAUAUUGGGGAGUGACUGCUCAUGAUCCUAUAAAUGUUGAAAUUGUCCGUCACUUGGAGUUUUAGGUAUAGUCUGAUGUUGUGUCUUGAAUCAUCCUUGAUGAUCAUUAUAAAGAUGAUGUGUUAGGCUGAAAGGGACUCCAACUAGUAAAAUCGGCUAAUUCCAUUAGGUAUAAUUGGGUGGCCGUUGAAGUGGUUGGGACUUCCCCCGUCAGGAAUACAAUCGAGGUUGUAUUAAAAGCUGACAUUAAGGUCGGUAAUCCCUCGAAUUGGUUGAUUAUUCCCUGUAGCUAUUGGGGAGAGGAUAUGUAGCUCUUUUAAGGGUUAUUAAAUUCCUCUGUAUGAAUUUGUUUUCACUGAGUUAGGGGUAGUUUACCCUUAUCUGAUUUCGAAGUGGUUGUGAUAGGUCGCUUGAAAGUUUCCCCCUCAAAGCUUCAUCUUGGAGCUUGGGCUUAUAUGAAGGGGUUUUAACUCUUUGUAGAGCAUAAGUUCUGGAAACCUUCUUUGGAGGUUUUUUUUAGUCUUUUUUUCGUGGUCUGUACUUAUCAAGAUGAUACCCGAGAUCAGAAAUUGGUCUCCCUUCACCCCUAAGUGCCUUGGUACAUCCCUUUCACCACUUAUUGGUGUGAUUUUUUUUAAUGUUUUGUGCUGGUGAAACCUGACACUUUUGGGGCUCAUCUUACUUUUGUGUUAUCUUUGGACCCAGUAGUACACGCCCGCUCUUGCAAAAAUGGUUUUUUAAGUACUAGUCUAUAGCUCAUUUUCGCCAGCCUCUUUCUUCUUAUCACUCUAGGCUAAGCCCUUUGUCCCCCUCACAGCUUCAUCUCGGAGCUUGGGCUUAUAUGAAGGUGUUUUAACUCUUUGUAGAGCAUAAGUUCUGGAAACCCUCUUUGGAGAUUUUUUUCAGUCUUUUUUUCAUGGUCUGUACUUAUCAAGAUGAUACCCCGGAUCAGGGAUUGGUCUCCCUUCGCCUCUAAGUGCCUUGGUACAUCUCUUUCACCACUUAUUGGUGUGAUUUUUUUAACGUUUUGUGCUGGUGAAACCUGACACUUUUGAGGCUCAUCUUACUUUGUGUUAUCUUCGUACCCAGUAGUGCACGCCCGCUCUUGCAAAAGCGGUUUUUUAAGUACUAGUCUAUAGCUCAUUUUCGCCAGCCUCUUUCUUCUUAUCACUCUAGGCUAAGCCAUUUGUCCCCCUCACAACUUCAUCUCGGAGCUUGGGCUUAUAUGAAGGUGUUUUAACUCUUUGUAGAGCAUAAGUUUUGGAAACCUUCUUUGGAGAUUUUUUUUAGUCUUUUUUUUCGUGGUUUGUACUUAUCAAGAUGAUACCCGGGAUCAGGGAUUGGUCUCCCUUCGCCCUUAAGUGCCUUGGUACAUCCCUUUCACCACUUAUUGGUGUGAUUUUUUUUAACGUUUCGUACUGGUGAAACCUGACACUUUUGGGGCUCAUCUUACUUUUGUGUUAUCUUCGGACCUAGUAGUACACGCCCGCUCUUGAAAAAGCGGUUUUUUAAGUACUAGUUUAUAGCUCAUUUUCGCCAGCCUCUUUCUUCUUAUCACUCUAGGCUAAGCCCUUUGUCCCCCGCAGAGGUGAAAAUGGAAGAAAAACUAUGUGAUUGGUACCAAAAGCUCGGCUAUGAAGAAGGAUUUAGCCUUGGCGAGGAACUCCCUUCUCAGCAAAAGAAGAGAAGGAUUGAUACUUAUGUGAUUAUUUGUGCCCCUGGUCAUGUUGAGAGGGAGAAACUCUUUGUUAAGUAUGGGAGUCUGGGGCUUUUCUUAACAGCUUUAACCUUGCCUUGUAAAUAACAUGGAAUAAUUCCAUAAGGCUUAGUGCUCACCAAGUGUAAUAUUCCAUAUUCUCUUAAAUGCUCAAUUAGUUGUCAGUUGAGACCAAUUGAGUUCCUAUGUACUCUAACUAUUAUCAGUUGUAACAAUUUGAGCUCAUAUGUGCUCUAAGUAUUGUCAGUUUGGACCAAUAAAGUAACCAGUAAACUCUGAAGAGAUUAAUCAUUAAUAAAAGAGACAAACCAAUAUUAAUAAGUACAAGAGAGGACAUUUUUGGUAACAUUAAUAAUUGGUCAAUUGGUACUAGAAGAUAAAAUAUCAAUUGAGAUAUUUUAUAUUACUACCUAAUAUUAUAAUAUAUAUUAAUUAUAUGUUAUAUAUUUGUGUGGUGUAGAAAGGAAAAGAAGAAGUGGAUAAGAAUGAAGGAAAAGAGAGUUAGUAGGUAAGAGAGAAGGAGAGAUAUCAGAAAGAAAAAGAAAGGGAAGAGAUAAGAACAAGAAAAAAAGAGAAGAGAGGAGAAGAGAGAAAGAGGAAAGAAGAGCUUGGAGGAAAAAGAAGAAAAAAAACCAUGGAGGAUUAUCAUCUUCACCAACAUCAUCUCAUCUUUAUCAUCAUCAUCACCAACUUCAUCUCUAUUUCACCAUAUUCAUCUUCAAGGUGAGUUCUUAGAUAGAUUAGCCUUUAGGGGGGAAAUAAUAUAUAUUUUGGGAGUUAGGAUUGGUGUUAAUCUAUUGGAAUAAAUGGAGUUAACAGAUGAAUUUUUGAAGAAAAUUGAAGAACCAAUCGAUUGGUUCCUAUUGGUCCUCCCAUUCAAUGGAUUGGUUUAGCGAAAUUUUAUGAGAAAUCGAUUGGUUUAGUUAAAUUUUGUGAGAAAUCUCCAUUCAAUCGAUUGAUUCAUUUGAUCAAUCAAUUAACAUUAAUUAAUUCUUUGAUAAAUUAAAAUAUGCCACCAAUGAGGUUCAAACUCGGGACCUCCUUGGUAUGGUACACGCCUUACCACUGAGCAUCCACCAAACUUCAUGAAGAGAAUGCGAGAGCCCUCUGAAAAUUCAAAGAAAGCCAAGAAGGAUAAAUUGGGAGAAACUUCUGGGUCAGACCUCCAGUCCCUCUAGUUGAUUCUCCAAGUAAGUCUCUGCCUCCUUCUCGCUCUGUUAAAUUAAAGCCACUUGCUUCUUCUCUUCCCCAAACCACUCCCAUCUACACCCAAUCAGAAACACCACCCUCCACCACCAAACCCUAACCCACCUUCUCUAAAAUUCAAUCUCGCAACCACUACCUUACCCGUUUCUGAAGCAGAAAUGGUGAACAAAACCACCUCACCGUCUUCCUCUACACCUUCAUCCCCACCAUACUACAUUCUCUCAUCAGACACCGAACCUUCUGACCCCCAAUCCCCCACACUAGCCCAACUUCAGGAGCGUGCUCUUGCCUCACAACAACCACCACAACCUUGAAGGUGAGAAAAACAAGAAAGGGGGGGUUUGAAUUGUUUGAAAAAAAUAAGCGCUUUUGCAAAAUGAAAUCACACAAUGAUUUUAUACUGGUUCGCUUAUAACACAAAGCUACUCCAGUCCACCCGGCCAAGGUGAUUUCGCCUUCAAAAGGAUUAAUCCACUAAUCUUGAAAGAUUACAAACAACCCCUAAGAGAGAAGAAAAUCUCUUAGUCCUCUCAGUCUACAGACUACAAAGAGUCACUUGAGGAAAUCAAAUAAAAAAUUAGAUACAGGAUGUGUAUCUAGAGUGCUUCUAAGAAAGCAAAUAUUACAAACUUAAGAACAAAUUUUUCACUUGAUAAGCAAAAGCUUAGUGAAAUUCUUUGAAGAACAAAGAUGAUUUUUCUUGAGCGUGAUAUAUUUCAGUAUAGUUUUGGCUAGUGAUUUCUUGUUUCUGAAUGUUGAUUCUUCUCUAUUUAUAGGAGUUGAAGUAGAGUUGAAGUAGCGUUUGAAUCUGUUGGAUAUUGAGAUGUAGUUACGCCAUUCCAUUAAUAGCUUCUGGCAGUAGACUUUUUCUCUUAGAAGUGACUACUUACCCCAUUAGUAUCUUCUCUCUUGGAAGUGGAGAUUAACGUCUUUCUAAUUGAGGAAAUCAUUUGCAGAACUUAACUUGGCUUAAACGUUACUUCAUCAUGAUUAACAAUUCUGAUUAGAGUCUUUGUGUAUCUGGAGAACUGGCUUCUGAUGUUAUCUCUUGAAGUUCAGAUGCGCUGAUACUUCAGAAUUUACAGAAGGCAUUUGUUCAGAAUCAGAGCUUCUAGACUUUACUUCAUGUUCAGAAUGCUUCUGAUACUUUGCAGUUUUUUGUCCAGAGUCAGAGCUUCUUUGAAACGAGAUUCCACUUUAGAUGCUUCUGAUACUUGAUAUAUUUGCUGCUGAUCUUGUUUGACAUCUGAUGACCACAAAUCAUCAUUUCAUUCCUUCUUUCAAGAACCACUGACAACAGAACUUUUCGUUAGGGUGCUCCUUUUUGUGUUUCAUCCUUGUUAUCAUCAAAAUCAUGGAGUCUGUUGUAGAACAAUUCUAUUGUUCCACUUACACAAUCUCCCCUUUCCUUGAUCGAUAACAAACACAUCAACAACUUAUCAGACUGAACCUGAAAGUAUAUAGAUCAGCAUUAGACGAAAUUAGCUCGCCCCUGAGUUCCGAUGUAAGAGUAGUUCUAACCAGAGCAUCCAAGUACACUGACUUCACACACCACUUUCCACAUUCCGCAAAUGAGAUGUUCAGAAACUUUAAUACAGCAACUACCCUCUACAUCUUUAAUGCGGCUACUUCAAGAGCUCAUCUCAUUAAUCUGUCACGAAUGCUGAAGUUUUAGACAUAUUCAAUCAGAGCUAUUUAAUCAUAUAGCGGCUUCCUCCACACCCUUUUUGCGCCUCAAGGUUUACAUCAUCAAGAUUUAAAUCCUUUGGCAUAAUAAACAGAAAAUAAGGUUAAUACAGAGAACAAAUACAUAUCAUUAAUCGCACAAAGGCAACAACAUAAGGAACAUCAGAAGCAAAGAAGAAUAUCAGAGCUAACAAGAAGACAGAAGCAAAAAGACUAGCAAGCAAACUAAAAUAAUGCCUAAGGCCUUAAGGGUUGGAGUUGAGGCGAUCUUGAAGGCAAACAUGGCAAACUUUCUGGAUCGUUUGCAUUCAGAGAUCUGGCAUUGUCAUCCUGCUACGAAGCUCAUUCUGAUCUUUCUUGAUUCUCUUCUGAUUCUUCUUUUAUCUUCUUGUCAGAGUGUUAAGAAUCAUGAGGAUUCGCAGAGAAGACUCCCCUGAAUCAGAGCCUGCUGAGCUUCAGCUUCAGCAGCAGCUUGGGCUCUGCAUUUCUGUCCUGAGCCUUGGCUUCAGCUUCCUGAAUCUCUUAGUAAUUCUUUUUUCCCGCUUCCCCUUUGCCCCCCAGGCCGUUUCUUCGUCCAACCUCUGGCUUUUCUGCUCUCCUGGCCACCUUCUUCCUCUAAUCUCUCUUAGCCUCAGCUUCUCUCGCUCCUCUCUUGGAGUCUUUCCUCAGAUCUCUGAUGUAAGNNNNNNNNNNNNNNNNNNNNNNNNNCCACAAGUGGGUAGACUAUUGUUAGAGUCCUACUUACUACAACGAUUUUUUUUAAGAUUGACAACAUGUUCGGAAAAGUUUGAAUUUGGCCAACCUGGAGGUGUGAUUUACAUACACUUCUCUGAAAUACUCCACACGCAUUUAGAUAUGCAGCUCUUGACGAUACACACACACACUUUUGGAGGCGCUACUUUCCGGGUUGUAAUUGGGCUGGGUUACGGGUAUGGAUUAUUAAAAAACAGGAAAACACGUGGCUUUGGUUCAGGAGGUCGAUGUUACAAAGAUCCUGUGUUGUUUCUUUUAUUCCUCAGUUUUCUUCUUAUUAUUUUUUCUCACUGAAAUGCCCUUUUUCCGUGCUUCUUUUUGAAUCUUUGCAGUUAUGAAUUUUUUUCUUUUUAUUUUUCUUGUCUUUCUCUCGAUUCAUCACUUUUUUCUUUUUUUUGUUCUUGCACUUUCUGGGACUUUGGGAGGCUUUUGGGGGUUUACCCCAACUUAUUCAACACAAUUGAAUGUAUUAUCACAUGACUCUGAACAGGGUAGGAAGUGUUUUUGGCCAAGAGGUUACAUUUAUGGGUUAAACAACAAAUGGAUAUAGGCUCAAGGGGUUAACGUAGGGAUAUAAUUAUUCGAGAAUGGCUCGGGAUUAACUUUCAAACAACGUGCCCUUAGUGUGUGUAUCAAUGGCAGUGACAAUCCCGAGAGUCAUGCAAUUUAGCGGUGAUAAAGACAAACCUGAAUGUCGCUCAUGAUGAUCAAUGUGUUUUGGCUUUUUUAUGACUCACUUUAUUUGGUCAGCUUUUGACAGGAUCCACAGUACUCCUUAGUUUGCGUGCGUUUCUCCUUACUUGCGGAUAUACAGGAUACUCAUGUCGGUUAAGCUGUCUAUGUUUGCCGUCCGAUCUUUACUUUCAGCAGUGUCAACUUCCCGGGGAGAUCCUUCAACAACAAGCCAUGGUGAGUGGCGUGAUCCUUUCAUUUUGCAUUCUCAAAUCGUGACAUCAUUACUAUUUCCAAGCCUACCACCACAUCGACUUGGACCCACAUCCAAGCAUAAUGUACCUUCAAACAGAAAAAUCAAAUCUAGAAGCAAAAAGUAAAAUAACACAAUAACAAAAUAAUGAGAGACUAAAAAUCCAAUAAAAGACAUAAAAUCUCGCCCCACACUUGAACUCAACAUUGUUCCAUAAUGUUUUCAGAAACAAGAGCGAAGGAGGGCACUCACAGUACCCUACUGAGGAUGUGGGUUGUGGAAAUGCAGCAUCAACUUGUCGCAUCAUGCUGCUCCAUCUCAUCCAACAUCGCUCCUGACGGGCUUGCUCGAUUCAUUUCGUUGUUGUUUCGUCCCUCAGCACCUAUUUCGGUUUGUACCCAUCUCAAUUGUCAGUGGACCAGGAUGAUGAACCCGGCCUCCUGCUGGGUGGGUUCAUGGAUGUGGUUUGUAUACACUACUUAGGAGGUGCUUGAGGAUCUUCUUCUUUCUCUGCUUCCGUUCGCUUCCACUGGUCAUUCCAUAAAUUGCUCACCUGCGGUAAAAAUGGUCAGUUUCGUGGCCUUCAUCCGCGUCGGGGUCAGCGCUCAAUACAACCAAUUCAGCUAAGUCAUAAUCGCAAUCUGUCUGAAUCCAGGCAGUGAAGAGAUAAUAAACCGUCUAUGGAAGUAUAGUAGAAAUAGUAAGUAGGGGCAACACACAAUCAAUACCCAUUGUGAAAUUAGAGCAGACAAUGUCAAUUUUGGUGGUUUCCUGCAUAUUGGCGUGUCUUCGAGGUAACAACAACUUGAUACCCGAAAUGCUCAGCGAUUUGAGAUGCAUUUCCCGACGGGAUAUUCCUCCGGAGUUUGCUCAGCGCGAGCUCUGCCCUAGAUGUCUGCUGCAAAGGGGCAAAGCUAACAUUGAUGGCUUUGUUUUGAGCCAUCGGUACUAAAGAAUAGCUCUCUCUGAUAGCUACCAUGUGUUAUCGUCCUCUUUCCAAACAAGGUAUAGGCUAAAGCCCCUUCUUGACGUACCUGAAACAUGGAUUCUGGAUACAAGAGGCUUCGCACCUUUGAGGAGUAAUCCGUUCCUCCCGGUGAUGGCACUCCAAAAAUCUUAGGUGAGAACCCGUCUGGGACCGCUCCGUCCAUUUCAGAGGGAGUCAGAGUAUAGCUGUAUCCUACAGACACACUCAUGAUAAUUAUUAAACAACCGAAAUUGCAAAGGUCAUAUCAUCACACAGACUCUCUGAGCAUCCUGAAUUUUUUUUAUGCUUUUUAUUUUUAUUUAGCAUGCUUGGCCCUAACCUUACUUUGGUCUUAUAUGAGGAUUUGGUUUUGGUCGCACAAGUCAUGGUGUUGUUCAUGGUGAUUGUGGAUAGCAUCUAGCGUAUGGUCAUACUGAACAACCACAUGCUUCUUUGUGUUAUCAAGCCACAUUGCUAGUCAUGUUAUUGUUCAUGGAUGCUAUGUCAAACUAACCUUAGGUCUCAUUUCAUGUUGUUCAUGCGUACAGGUUAUUAGUUCAAGUUUUUUUUUUUCAAAGUCAAACAUCCAAGUCCAUAAACUAACCAAUGUAAAACCAAAUUGCAAACCAUUUGUUCAUCCAUUUCAAUCUAUUUCAUGUCAUUGUAACCAUUCACAUGUGAGUCAUACAAUGGAAAAACAAAAUUUGGGCAUUUUUGACCAACUGUUGACUUUGGUUCAACCGUUGACUUUGGUCAACUUUGACAAACGUCAACCCAAAUCAUUAAACGCCUAAAUUCACCCAUAAUUGUCCAUUGAAUCGCAUUUAAGAAAGAAUACAAAAAAUGAACUUGACCAAUUGUUGACUUUUGGUCAACUUUGACCCAAAAGUCAACGUGCAACCGCUUUGCAUCCUAAAAUCCUAAGUCUUUUCCAUCAUGAACCUUAAUCAUCACUCAUUGUUCGCAGUUGUAGAUUGCUUGCUUAUCUCUCAUCGAUAGAUGUGUUAACAUUGACAAGUAUUAUAUAGCCUUAAGAUACAACACACGAAGGCGUAAUAUUAGAGUUUCUCAUAAACCUCGCGAGCUGGAGCAAAAGUUUCAGUUAUAACAAUAGCCAUGCCUACUACUUGAAUGUGAAACAGUAAGUCAAGUUAUACUUAAAAACAGCAGAUGCAUAACUACCGCAGCUUUCCGUCAGAAUCCAACCAAAGAACAUGACGACUUCUCUCGCAAUGAACUUGACAAAAAAGGAUAUUUCCUUCCACUUAUAUCUAUACUGACCGGAUGAUGGAAAGGAUACUAUGCUAUAUAUUAGGAGUCAAUUCUGAGACCAAACACACACGAAAAUACACGGCGUGGUCACAAAUACCAUAACUGACUGUUUGGCCUCUUGUGUGAACCUAUUUAAGAUGUGCAGAACAAGAGAACCAGCCCUUCAACAUCAGCCGAGCUUAAUGACAUACCUAUGUCUCGUGCAUAGGACACGUAUAUUGAUAUAAACAUGCCCAAACUACUAUAUCUUAGCACAUACGUCGUAUGGUCGAGACCCUACAACUUUGCAACCCAUCCCAGACGCUGCUACAAACCACAUACCCACAAUGGUCAACAAUACUAUUGCAAGUACAAUGUGCAGUCACUUGGCCAGCUGCACACCAAGAAAACUUAAUACACGAUGUUUGAUCCGCUGACGAAAAGGAGCCUUCAGCCACAUUGACUGUGAGAUGAGCUACUAACUCAAUGAGCACGACUACGUCCCGCAACUUAGACAGGAAUAUAAAAUAGGAGAGGCGUCUCUACGCAAUCGUAUGGACUGUUCUAGUGCGAUUAUGCUAAUGCGAUAUGGUCAGCAUACACUAUCUGCAGCAUUCUAUGUUCAUGAUCACAAUCAACUGCUAUACAACCUAAUAUACUGUAUACCAGGUAUAUCGUUGCCUCACCGACUCACUAUAGAACUCCUUUACAUUAUAGGAGAUGAAUUUCCUGGAGAUUUAAUGGUCUUCAGAGUUCCAAGGAGUGACAUGUUGCUAUCGGUGGGGAGCUUUCUUAAUCACUCUUAUGCUAGCACAGCAAGUCUAUCAACAUAACCACCCUAAGGACAGUCGAGAAUCUCCAUGAAAGCAGGUUUACACUGCAAACUCUGCUUCACGGAAUUACGCAUGACGUCUCAGAUUAUAUCAACGGUCACAUUUAUCCAGAUGAAGGACUAACAUAAUCAAAGACUAUCGCCUAAUAUCACUUGACAACGACUAGGAUCACAUUUGUGUCUACUGCUGACACAGAUAUAUCCUCUUGUAGCGAGCGCCUAUAAUACACGAUAAUCUGUCAUGUCCUAGAUGUUAUCCUACAACUUAUCAUACUCAGCUUCGGGUACGCUUGGGAUGAGCUCACCACAGACUUGUUCAGAUGUUCUUUUAGUAUUUAAUAUAAAGCAAAUGCAUCCAAACGGAUGAAAAUAUGAAAUGUGGUGGGUUUUUUCUUCCCUAACACUGCAUUACCUGAUCUACUCACAGGAGUUGCUCUUUAUCCACGAAACACACCAUCGGCUAUCUGAUUAUGCGCAAGAGUUUCUAUCUCCACUGAAUACAAUACAUGCAGGUCUUGGGCGACAGGUCGCAUCAUCCUGGCACUUUACGAUGAGACUCUCUCUCCUGCCCCAAAGUGCUUUGUCUGCUACACAUUCUUGGUAAUUCUAUGUGUCCACAUUGGUUCUAAGGGUCACAUAGUUAUGCUUGCUAUUGUAUAGUCUCUGUCUAGUCUCUGGAAAGUGGCCAAAUUAUAUAAUAAUAAAGCACAACAACGUGGAAACUAGACACAUCACCAAAUUUGUGUGAGUAGGGAGACCUAGUAAGUAAUAUCUCAAAACCAGUGGGAGACUGCAGAGAAGGAACCAUAUGCUGGGAUAGCAAAUGGUUUGCAUGGUACGAUAUCAACAAACACAACAGCCUGUCUCAUUACAAAAUAGGUCAUUUAUAUGUAUACUACAAGAGUGCUACUCUCGGUUUAGUCCGAUAGUAUGAUUACUGGCUCAACAAUCAUUUAUGAGGGAUCUAUACCAUUGCAUCUAAGUUGACACGUUAUCACCUUUAGAGAGGAGACACACCUCUCUGGUGAGAUACAGAGAUGUUUGUACCGCAUGUAGAGUGCAUCUGUAUUAGUCGACGUUGUGAUCCGCAGAAUCAGUUAUGUAUCCCUCGCGAAUGUCCACCCAGGUGCAGAGACACUAGUAAGCAUUGAAAUACUCACGAGAUAUCUUAGUAAGUCAUAACUUCUGUGUAUGUCACGCAAUGUAUAUGAUCAUAUGUAUUGCUAAAGGAAGUGUUAUUGUCACAUCAGGUAACACAAGAUACACGUUCUAAGUAGAUGGAAGCGUAGAUGCACCCACAGUAUGGCUUAGAGGAGGUCGAUUGCAUCUAAACUCCAUUUUUUGGUUAUAAAGAUGCCUAUGCUUCGAAAGAGAGAUACUUCCUGCUAUUCUCUAGACAGCUUACGCCCCAAGAGCACUCAUUGCAACGACCGUUAAUCUGCAGUGUCUACGAGUUAUACACAACACAACUUCGACAUAAACCACUCAAGUGUCGUUAGCUGAGAAACGUUCUACACCUUGAAUUGUCCCUCAUCAGUGCGCCCUAAAGCGUCAGCCUCCAGCGUCUACUAACUGUGAAAAUCUUCACUCGUACGCAUAUAUAAAAGUGGUUACAUUCAUGUGGUAUGAGAAACUGUAUAGCUCACAUCGAGGCAGUACAAUUAUAAACUACAGAAGAUAACCUUUUGAUCUUUUAAAAUAACAGACAAAGAUAUGAAUUAGUAACUAAAUACUCGAAUAGGAAUGAGAUGUCAUUAUGCUUCCCUCUUACCUCGCAGUGAUUACCCAUGUGGAUCCAUCAGAGCCUCGGUUCUGACUAAUGGCUUUACGACAGAACUAUUCAUCUAUGUUGCCGACUAAAACUUAGGAGUAAUUAUCACUCUUUGAUACUUAGCAUCAACUUAGUUCUACGCAAUCCCAAGAAACGGAUGAUUUGUGUGGCUGCGAUAACUCUCUUUUAUGGACUUACUAUCAUAGAAAGCAACUUAAUGGAUAACAAUGCUUACAUCGCAAACCUCACUCCUUCGUCAAAACUCUAUCAGAAAGAGAGUCAAUCAGAUAAUAGAAGGAAGGGGAGAGAAGUACUCAUCAUAUAGCAAAGAGAGGAUAGGACAGGUAGCCCAUCUAGAUCGACAUAAAAUUCUGGAUCUGGCAGAUCAUCACAUUCCAUCAAAGCAACCACAAACGCUCAAGCGCGAAUUAAAGUUUCCACCGCUAUUGGAGACAUUUAUGACCUCUUCUUGCGCCAGUUUGCGGUAGCGCUAGGCAUUUUCCCACAGAGUCCAGGUACGCGCCUUACUGUUCUCAGGCUGCUCAUGACACUUUGCUGCAUAGCGCGGUCUGAUCGCACACUCAUGUAGUAUAGAAGAUCUCUCUUAUCUUUUUCGCCUAAUUACUCCUAAUAUGUAACAAUCUUCUGUCGCGGUCGUUCAUGAUUUAGAUUGGUAGCACUCACAUGACGUGUGUACGAUGAUCAACGUAUGAGGCAUGACGUUAGCGAUUUUCUUUGAGUUUAGCAGAGCGUGAUGUAUGGUGUUUCGUUUGGUAUGUGUGAUAUGUGUAGUGGUCGAUCUGUAUUAGAGGUAGAGGCGAAAGUUAUCGCGAGAAAGAGAUGUUGUAGAUUGUGUGAGAGAUAACGAUUGGGAGGCGUUUUGAAGAAGGAUGGGAUGUAACUUCUAAGAAUUCGCCUUUGGAGAGAGACGAUCAGUUUAGCAGCACAGAUCAGUACCCGGGUUUUGGAGAUUACUUCGCGGACUCUACUGACACAUUACGGAUAUGUGGAUGUAAGGUAGAUGGCCGAAUAAUAAGCUGACUCAUCUCUGAGAGCAUGAUAUAGAGGUUCCGCACCGAGAGAAGUGAAUUUUGAGUUGUUAUAGAAGAGCUUGCGAGAAUAUCUUGAUAAAUGAGAUUUCAUUGAAGGUGGUAGGAGCGUGAGGCACGUGAAGUGUGUAUCUGAUUUAGGUAGUCACUCUUAUCUUUUCUUUAUUCUUUAAAUUUAUUAAGUCUCUUUAUACAGCAUAUAUUUAGCUCAUCUUCAUAUAAACAUAUAUAAAGGGUGUUUGAGAGAUGUAGUGAUUACUUCUAGGAUUUCAGUAAAUCUCACUUAUGUUGGUAGAGUUGUUAUGGUGUUUCCCUAAAGAGUCUUACUAUUACACUCUUCAGAUCGGAGCUUUAAGAAACUAUAACUGUCCAAUUCUUAAGAACCGGUGCGUUACUCGCUUGUUGGUUAAAACUCUCUCGCGCUAGUGAAAGAGAGGUAAGACGCCUAACCGUCCUUGUAUAUUUAUACAGUUUUUAGUAUUCUAUCUAUGUUGUAUUCUAUUACCAGUGAUAGUUCUAGAAAGUUCAGAAAAUCCUUAUAGUCUAAUCUCAGAUUCUUCACAUACAUGUAUGAUGCUAGUGUUAGUGAGGUAGCCUCAUAAAACGCAUGUAACUAUACGUUGGCGCUGUCAUCAAGAGUCAGAUUCUGAUGAAUGGGUCUUGGGUGGAAUGUACGACUAGUGCGGUCCAGUGUAUCCACAUUAGUCUAUCUGCUUCAUGUGGUCGUUGAGAGGGUUGCAUAAUUAUCUUCUCUGAUAGACUUUAUGCAUCUUUUUCUAUUGUUUAGGCGUUUUUUAUUUCUUUCUAGCUAUCUUAUAUUUAUCUUGCUCUGUGAGAGGUGCUAUUUUCUAUUUUUUAUGUUUCAUUGCACUCUUAUAUUAUGAACUCCUGUCAUAUUUUAUCUAAUAAUAUGUACUAGAAUUGCUAUAAAUAUUGUUUCUCUCUAAUUUGAUACCAAUUCAUGUUCAAUAAUCACCCAUCUUUUUGUUAAACUAUAUGUUAACUACCAUGCAAUCUAUAUCUCCUCUUCUCGGAUCUUUUGAGAUAUCUCUCGUAGGAAGUCUGUUGUUGCCAUUUUCCCAUCGGUACUUGUUCCCAAGUGUUGUGCUUAACCUCUUACUGGUUAGGCUCACGACACGCUUUGUUACAGUUCGAUCUCGUCAUCUAUGUAUAAGUCACUCUGCCAUCGGUUCAAAACGUCUCGACCAGGUGAUUCUUGACAGUAUUGGGCUCGUUUCCUUAGCAGGAUGGAGAGCGCUUUGCUUGUGUCUGUACUCUUAAGACUUCCGUCUCUCUCACGCGCGUCUAGGUAUUCAGCGACACUGCAUUUAUUUACUUGUUUGGACUUGUCGUUCUACGCCAGAGUUCUUUACAAUUUCACUCCACUCCAUAGCUUUUGAAUUAUGCCCUCAUUGUCACUUUCUAGAACGAAAAUAACUGAUAACCAAGCUCUCUUCACAUCGGUUGACAUGAAAUUUAGUAUACUAUGCUCCUUUGAUAAUUCAGAGCAGUAACCCAUUGGUCUCCAAUUUUCUUGGCAGACUUCUGACUAAUCUCUUACAUGAUCCGCAGUCGUGUAUCCUUUGUCUAGGCGACUUUUAGACCUGCAAUAAGAGUUUGGAAUCUGGGAAAACAUAGCUUCUAUAGCUCGUCAUCUUCCAUCUGUAAGGCUGUCAUAGUUUCUGGAUCAACGCCAGAGCUUUCGUUCUCCUUGACUUGGGAGUUCCUUAUGGUCAUCUUCAGAGAGUCAGUAAAUUCUUUAGCCGUCUCUCUCGUUGUGGGAUCGUUCUUUGUAUUCGUUGGUAAUGAUAUCGCAUUUAGAUAUAUUUGUUCGUGGCCAUUGUGAAUGAUUUUGAACUCACGUUUCGUGAUGUUCUGACAUUUUGGCCUUUCUGGGAACGUUCACUCCAUUUAAGGUUGGAGUUUGUAUCCAUUGUGACAUGUCCAGAGGUCAGCAUCAUAACCCAGAAGAAACUUCCGAUUCUAUCUUCCAGUAAUCAACAACUGUUUCUCCAUCAAAAACAGGAGGCUUGCAUUGUACAGAAUCUUUCUCAUUGAAGUGGGCCAUUUGUUUUCUCGCACUGAUCUCUCUACACGGUUAAUGUUUGAAUUUGAAAAUCAUAUUACAGAGCCGGAGCUCUGAUACCGAAUUGAGGUGAGAAAAACAAGAAAGGGGGGGGUUUUGAAUUGUUUGAAAAAAAUAAGCGCUUUUGCAAAAUGAAAUCACACAAUGAUUUUAUACUGGUUCGCUUAUAACACAAAGCUACUCCAGUCCACCCGGCAAGGUGAUUUCGCCUUCAACAAGGAUUAAUCCACUAAUCUUGAAAGAUUACAAACAACCCCUAAGAGAGAAGAAAAUCUCUUAGUCCUCUCAGUCUACAGACUACAAAGAGUCACUUGAGGAAAUCAAAUAAAAAAUUAGAUACAGGAUGUGUAUCUAAGAGUGCUUCUAAGAAAGCAAAUAUUCAAACUUAAGAACAAAUUUUUCACUUGAUAAGCAAAAGCUUAGUGAAAUUCUUUGAAGAACAAAGAUGAUUUUUCUUGAGCGUGAUAUAAUUUCAGUAUAGUUUUGGCUAGUGAUUUCUUGUUUUCUGAAUGUUGAUUUCUUCUCUAUUUAUAGGAGUUGAAGUAGAGUUGAAGUAGCGUUGAAUCUGUUGGAUAUUGAGAUGUAGUUACCAUCCAUUAUAGCUUCUGCAUGUAGACUUUUUCUCUUAGAAGUGACUACUUACCACACCAUUAGUAUCUUCUCUCUUGGAAGUGGAGAUUAACGUCUUUUCUAAUUGAGGAAAUCCAUUUGCAGAACUUUAACUUGGCUUAAACGUUACUUCAUCAUGAUUAACAAUUCUGAUUAGAGUCUUGUGUAUCUGGAGAACUGGCUUCUGAUGUUAUCUCUUGAAAGUUCAGAUGGGCUGAUAACUUCAGAAUUUACAGAAGGCAUUUGUUCAGAAAUCAGAGCUCUAGACUUUACUUCAUGUUCAGAUGCUUCUGAUACUUUGCAGUUUUUUGUCCAGAGUCAGAGCUUCUUUGAAACGAGAUUCCACUUUAGAUGCUUCUGAUACUUGAUAAUUUUGCAUCUGAUCUUGUUUUUGCAUCUGAUGACAUCAUCAGACCUUUAUUUCUUCUUUCUUUAGAACCCUGCACACUUAGAAACUUUUCGUUAGGGUGCCAUUUUUGGUUUCAUCCUUUGUUAUCAUCAAAAUCAUGGAGUCUGUUGUAGAACAAUUUUUGUUCUUACAAACCUGAACCAGAAGCCACCUCUCCACCCCCUGAACAACAAAAUCCACCUCCAUUUGAACAACCACAAACACCACCUUCUGAACAACCAGCAACUCCACCCUCUGAACAACAACCCACAACACCACCUGCACAAACAACACCACCACCCUCUGAUAUUCCCACCAUACCAAUAUUUGAGGCCAUCAUCAUCCCUACUCACACUCCCGCUGACACCAACCAAACACCACCAUCAUCCCCAUCCCCCAACUUUGAACCUGAACCUACCUUCCCCACCUUAGAAGAAGAAAUCACUUUAUUUGCAGAGUCUUCAGUGGAGAAGAUCAAGUCUCUGUCUGUCAACUAUGACAUCAGUGGUGUUCCCUCUGCAGUGAGGAUCCACUUGAACCGAGUGAUCAGAUGGAUGACCUAUGAAGCCUUCAAACUGAAAGGCCUCUAUGAACAAGUCCGCAACGACUUUGUCAGAGAUGCUGGAGUAAGGCUACAGACUCGCUUGGUCAGAGAGGCUGAGGAAAAGGCCAGAAAGGAAGCAAAAGAGAAAGCUCGUUUGGAAGAAGAGAAACGAAUCAGAGAAGCUGAAGAGAAGGUUGUUGUUGAAGUUGUGGUUAUUGUUGAAGCUGAGGCAAAAGCUAAAGUCGAAGCUGAAAAAGCAGCACGCAUUGCUGCAGAGGAAGUUGUAAAGGCCAGCGCUGAUGCUCUGACUCAGGGGGGUGCAAUCUAACUCUGGUUUCGCCCCUUUGGUAUAGAAAACUCUAGAGGAACUUCAAAAGGAACAACAAGUUAUGAGAGCUAGGUUGGAUCACCAGGACUCCGUCGACAACAAUAUUUAGAACCUGCUGACUCAAUUGCUCCAAAGGAUGCCUCCGCCUCUAAACCCUUAGGCACUUAGGCUAUUUUGUUGUUGUUUUCUUCUAAUGUUUUCCUUAUGCUUUCUGAUAUAUGCCUUCAUUGCUUCUUAUAUGUACCAACUUUCUCUCUUAUAUAUGAAUAUUUGUUUCUUGCUUUACUUUCUACGUAUUUUUGAGUCUGACAAACAGGGGGAGAACUAUAACAGCUCUGAUGAAAAUACAUAUCUAAACCUCUUAAUGCACUAUGAACAUUAAUAUCUUAAUGAUUUAUGAAAACUAAAGUUAUGCAGGACAACAGCUAAGGUACAGACCAACUACCACACAAGGAAGGUCUGGUAAGAACUUCUGAGAAAUCUGAUGAUUUAACUCGGGGGGAGUCCCUUGUUCUUAUCUGAUUUUGAGAUGUUAUUUACUGCUUCAUCAUCACUCUGACUUGUUUUGUCAUCAUCAAAAGGGGGGAGAUUGUAAGAACAAAUUUAGUUCUACAAUGUAUCUCUAAGAUUUUGAUGAUAACAAAGGAUGAAACAAAAAAAAUGGUACCCUAACGAAAUCUUUCUAAGUAUGCAGGACUCUAAUCAAAACAGUCAGAUAGACACUCAUCAAAUACAAAAUCAAAGUCUAAGAUACCAAUUAGAAGAUACACAAGCAGAAGCUCUGACUCUGAUCAACGCAACGCAAACUAAACAAAAGACAUCAGACACUCUGAAAUGGAAGAAUGACUCUAGAAUCUGAAGACUUACGCUGUGAUGAAAUCAAGUGAAAGGAAGCUCUGAAGACAAUCAACAACAAGCAUCUAUCUGAUGAUACCCUUUUGAAUAUAGACUCUGAAGUUCGAUCUAUCUAAUUCAGAAUACUUAGCUAUGAAGGAACCCACUUAUGGAAAGAAUCUAAUUCAGGAAGAAGUUUAUGGCGCCCCAAAAUUGUUUUGGAAAGAACACAGAAAUUAAUGACAUUAAUCAUCCAUCAUUGCCCAAGAUUCUGACAUUAACAUACUUCAACGGUCCUCUCAUCACUCCUAUAUAAAGGAUGGAACACUUCUCAAAUAACUCACCUGGAACUCACGAGAAUACAAUACCUCCACUAUAUUUAUUAUUCAUUCUCUCACACGAGUUGUUGCUCUAACGUGUGAAAUAAUUCUUUACUCUUACAUUGUGUAAUUUCUGCUUAUUUUAGAAGCACCAAUCAUUACUGUAAUCAUACUAUAUUGCUAAGAAAUUUCCUCAAGUGACUUGUUAAGUCUGUAAACUUGAGAGGGCUAAGAGAUCUUUAUUCUCUUAGACGAUUUUUCUUGUAAUCUUUCAAUAUUAGUGGAUUAAGUCCUUUUUGAUGGCAAAAUCACCUUGGCCGGGUGAACUGGAGUAGCUUUGAAUUUCAAGCGAACCAGUAUAAAAUUUUGUGCUUAAUUUAUUUGUUUCUGUGUGUGUCUAAAUUCCAAAAAGUUUUAUUUUCUAAAAAUAAUUCAAACCCCCCUUUCUUGUUUUUCUCUACCUUGAAUUGGUAUCAGAGCUUCGGCUUUGUUAUUGAUUUCUAAUCAAACACUUAACAGUGUAGAGAGAUCCAGCGUGAGAAAAACAUUAUGGCCAACACCAAUGAAAGAGAUAGUUACAAUGCUAAACCUCCAAUCUUUGAUGGAGAAAAAUUUGAUUACUGGAAAGAUAGAAUCGAAAGUUUCUUUCUGGACUACGAUGAUGAUCUGUGGGACAUAGUUACUAUUGGCUACAUACCUCCCGUAUCUGACGCUGGCGUUGCCAUUUCCAGAAACAAGAUGACAGAUGAUCAUAAGCGUGACUUCAAAAACCAUCACAAAGCCAGAACAAUACUGUUGAAUGCCAUUUCCUACAAUGAAUAUGAAAAGAUCACCAACAGGGAAACAUCUAAAGAAAUACUUGACUCCCGGAGGAUGACUCACGAAGGAAAUUCACAAGUCAAAGAGACAAAGGCUCUGGGUCUAAUUCAGAAGUACGAAGCUUUCAAGAUGGAGGAUGAUAAAGCUAUAGAGGUAAUGUUUUCUAGAUUUCAAACUUUAAUUGCAGGACUCAAGGUUUUGGACAAAGGCUACACAACUGCAGAUCAUGUCAAAAAGAUCGUCAUAAGCUUACCAAAGAAGUGGAGACCCAUGAUCACCGCAUUAAAACUGUCAAAGGAUCUGAACAACAUUAGCCUUGAAGAACUAGUUAGCUCCCUCAGAAGUCACGAGAUAGAGCUUGAGGAAGAUGAGCCUCAAAGAAAGAACAAAUCUGCAGCACUAAAGUCCAGAUCUGAGAGACACAAAUCAAAAAGGAACAAAGCCUUCCAAGCUGAAGAGGAAGACAAUGACAACUCUGAAAAAGAAGACUCUGACGAUGAAGAAGAGUUAUCCCUUUUAACUAGAAGAGUAAAAUGGAGUCAGUCAGAACAAUAAAAGAGGAAUAAGGUAUGAUACUAGUGAAGAUAAAUCUUCUACAGAUGACAAACCCAAAUCUCCUUUCUCUUAUCACUACACGCAUGCACAAACACAACAUUUUACUAAGGCUAGAAAACUCAAAGUUCUAAGAAACUCUGGGAAAACUAAUCACAAAGGACCCAAAAGAUUUUGGGUACCAAAGGAUAAGAUUGUUUAUGUUGCAGAUAUCUUAUGCAGCAGAGUUAAGACACCAGUCAUGGUACCUGGACUCUGGAUGCUCGCAACACAUGACGGGAAGAAAGCAUAUGUUCCAAAUCCCGGAACUUAAAGAUGUUGGCUUCGGAGGUUUCGGAGGAAAUCAGAAAGGUAGAAUCAGAGGCUCCCGAACUAUUGGUAAUGGAUCUCUUCCCUCUAUAUCUGAUGUUCUCUACGUAGAAGGAUUAAUGUAUAACCUGUUAUUAAUAAGCCAAUUAAGUGAUAACGAUUAUGAUAUAAUCUUCAAUCAAAAAACAUGUAAAGCAAUUAAUCAGAAUAAUGGAAUAGUUCUAUUCACUGGAGAGAGGAAAAAC